rnacentral:rRNA from 1 species
CCUACGGGUGGCAGCAGUGAGGAAUAUUGGUCAAUGGACGAGAGUCUGAACCAGCCAAGUAGCGUGAAGGAUGACUGCCCUAUGGGUUGUAAACUUCUUUUGUAUGGGAAUAAAAUGUUCCACGUGUGGGAUUUUGUAUGUACCAUAAGAAUAAGGAUCGACUAACUCCGUGCCAGCAGCCGCGGUAAUACGGAGGAUUCGAGAGUUAUCCGGAUUGAUUGGGUUUAAAGGGAGCGUAGGUGGUUUGUUAAGUUAGUGGUGAAAGUUUGAGUCUCAACUUUAAAAUUGCAGUUGAAACUGGCAGGCUUGAGAACAGUAGAGGUAGGCGGAAUGAGUGGUGUAGCGGUGAAAUGCUUAGAUAUCACGAAUAACUCCGAUUGCGAAGGCAGAUCACUAGACUACAACUGACACUGAGGCUCGAAAGUGUGGGUAUCAAACAGGAUUAGAUACCCCUGUAGUC